GAGAAGGUGAGUUUCCUGACUAGCUUCUAAAUCAUUGUUGGGUGCUUUUGAGACCUCAUCAAAUGCUUUGAUUGCUUGCAAUUUCGCAGCUGAAGACCGUAUCAGAUGAUAAGUAUAAGUCCAGACGUAGAAACCACCAAGCGCCAUAGAAAAAGAUGCAUAUGAGAGUCCAACAGAGUUGCAAGUGGCACUAUCAAAUGGAC
rnacentral:misc_RNA from 1 species